rnacentral:sRNA from 1 species
GAGCGGGGCCGGCAGAGCGCGCGGCGUCGGUGCCCUUGACCAUGGCGGCGGCUGCGCUUCUGCUGGGGCUGGCGCUACUGGCACCGCGGGCGGCCGGCGCGGGCAUGGGCGCGUGCUAUGACGGCGCAGGGCGCCCGCAGCGCUGCCUGCCGGUGUUCGAGAACGCGGCGUUUGGGCGGCUCGCCCAGGCCUCGCACACGUGCGGCAGCCCGCCCGAGGACUUCUGUCCCCACGUGGGCGCCGCGGGCGCGGGGGCUCAGUGCCAGCGCUGCGACGCCGCCGACCCCCAGCGCCACCACAACGCCUCCUACCUCACCGACUUCCACAGCCAGGACGAGAGCACCUGGUGGCAGAGCCCGUCCAUGGCCUUCGGCGUGCAGUACCCCACCUCGGUCAACAUCACCCUCCGCCUAGGGAAGGCUUACGAGAUCACGUAUGUGAGGCUGAAGUUCCACACCAGUCGCCCUGAGAGCUUCGCCAUCUACAAGCGCAGCCGCGCCGACGGCCCGUGGGAGCCCUACCAGUUCUACAGCGCCUCCUGCCAGAAGACCUACGGCCGGCCCGAGGGCCAGUACCUGCGCCCCGGCGAGGACGAGCGCGUGGCCUUCUGCACCUCUGAGUUCAGCGACAUCUCCCCGCUGAGUGGCGGCAACGUGGCCUUCUCCACCCUGGAGGGCCGGCCCAGCGCCUACAACUUUGAGGAGAGCCCUGGGCUGCAGGAGUGGGUCACCAGCACCGAACUCCUCAUCUCUCUAGACCGGCUCAACACGUUUGGGGAUGACAUCUUCAAGGACCCCAAGGUGCUCCAGUCCUACUAUUAUGCCGUGUCCGACUUCUCUGUGGGCGGCAGGUGCAAGUGCAACGGGCAUGCCAGCGAGUGCGGCCCCGACGUGGCGGGCCAGUUGGCCUGCCGGUGCCAGCACAACACCACCGGCACAGACUGUGAGCGCUGCCUGCCCUUCUUCCAGGACCGCCCGUGGGCCCGGGGCACCGCCGAGGCUGCCCACGAGUGUCUGCCCUGCAACUGCAGUGGCCGCUCCGAGGAAUGCACGUUUGAUCGGGAGCUCUUCCGCAGCACAGGCCACGGCGGGCGCUGUCACCACUGCCGUGACCACACAGCUGGGCCACACUGUGAGCGCUGUCAGGAGAAUUUCUAUCACUGGGACCCGCGGAUGCCAUGCCAGCCCUGUGACUGCCACUCGGCAGGUGAGUGGGCUCCACAUCCCCAGCCUCCGACCCUCUCCCCUUCCUGGCCUCAAUUGCCCUGUGCCCUUCCUCUCCCAGGCUCCCUACACCUCCAGUGCGAUGACACAGGCACCUGCGCCUGCAAGCCCACUGUGACUGGCUGGAAGUGUGACCGCUGUCUGCCCGGGUUCCACUCGCUCAGUGAGGGAGGCUGCAGACCCUGCACUUGCAAUCCCGCUGGCAGCCUGGACACCUGUGACCCCCGCAGUGGGCGCUGCCCCUGCAAAGAGAAUGUGGAAGGCAACCUAUGUGACAGAUGUCGCCCGGGGACCUUUAACCUGCAGCCCCACAAUCCAGCUGCAGGAGCUGCAGAUCCAGGGCUUUGAGAGUGACCUCGCCGAGAUCCGCGCCGACAAACAGAACCUGGAGGCCAUUCUGCACAGCCUGCCCGAGAACUGUGCCAGCUGGCAGUGAGGGCUGCCCAGAUCCCCGGCACGCACUCCCCCACCUGCUGUUUACAUGACCCAGGGUGUGCACACUACCCCACGGGUGUGCCCAUACAGACGUUCCCCGGAGCCGGCUGCUGUGAACUCGCCCCCGUGUGAAUAGUCACACUCCCUGCCGAUUCUGUCUGUGCCUUCUUCCCUGCCAGCAGGACUGAGUGUGCGUACCCAGUUCACCUGGACAUCAGUGCACACUCUCACCCCUGCACAUGCAUAAACAGGCACACCCCAGUGUCAAUAACAUACACACGUGAGGGUGCAUGUCUGUGUGUAUGACCCACACGUGUUCAAGUCU